UAUUGCAUGCUGAUCUAUACUAAUAUCCCAAAUUAUUAAAAAGGAAAAUAUGCCAAGAAGGCAAAGAUUAAUCCCUGCUUCUACACGCCUUAUCCUCUCUGGUACAAAUUGUGUUGGUGAGGCGAUCGUUGUUCAACAACACAGAGCGUGCCAAAUUUCUCAACGAGCUAGUGACCGGAAUUCGCAACAAUUUCUAGAAAAUCCACAGGCUUUGUCUGAUCCGAGUAACUACCAUGAGUUUUGUCGCAUGUUAGCAAGGCUGAAAACAAAUUACCAGCUGGGAGAGUUAGUCAAGGUCACAAAUUAUCCGGAACUGAUCAAACGGAUUGCAGAGUUUACUGUGACCAGUCUGAGGCAAAUGUGGCAGUUUGCGCCUAACAGUGUACACUACCUGUUGAGCCUGUGGCAGAAGAUGGUGGCGUCCAUGCCGUACGUGAAGGCUAACGAGCCCCACCUGCUGGAGACGUACACCCCGGAGAUCUUCAAGGCCUACACCAUGUCCCGCCUAGAGUCGCGGGUCACCGUGGUCAUCAAAGACGGGUUAGAAGAUCCAUUAGAGGACCAGGGAAUGAUCAAUCAACAGUUGGACCAGCUCUCUACCAUUGGGAGGUGUGAAUACGAGAAAACCUGUGGUCUCCUGGUUCAACUGUUUGAUGAGGCAGCCCAGCGGUAUCAGGAGGCCAUCAAUUCAGGAACCCAGGGGGUAGAGAUUACGAUACAAGAAGGUCGAUUAUCUUGGUUAGUGUACAUAAUAGGAGCUGUGAUAGGUGGUCGGAUCUCCUUCGCCAGCACAGACGAUCAUGACGCCAUGGACGGGGAGCUAGCUUGUAGGGUUUUACAGUUAAUGAAUUUAGUGGACUCUAGGAUUGCCCAGUAUGCCUGUGAAAAAUUAGACCUUGCCAUAUUAAGCUUUUUUGAACAAUUUAGGAAAAUUUAUGUUGGGGACCAAGUUCCUAAAAUGUCUAAGGUUUAUCGACGGUUAUCAGAAGUGUUAGGAUUAAAUGAUGAAUCUAUGGUACUGAGUGUUUUUAUUGGUAAAAUAAUUACAAACUUAAAAUAUUGGGCCCGAAGUGAACAAAUAACAUGGAAGACCCUGCAGCUUCUAAACGAUCUGUCCGUGGGCUACAGCUCUGUCCGAAAAUUAGUCAAGCUAGAUGCUGUACAGUUUGUUUUAAGUAAUCAUACGAAUGAACAUUUUCCGUUCUUGGGUUUGAACGCGAACAACCGUUCGUUUGCUGACAUGAGGUGUAGGACCACUUUUUACACAGCACUGGCUCGCCUGUUAAUGGUCGACCUCAGAGAAGAUGACGAGGACAAAUUUGAAGAAUUCAUGGUCCCUUUAACAUCUGCGUUUGAGUCGGUGGGCACAAUGCUGACAAACAUGGACAUGCCCCAGAAAGAGGAAGAAGCCAAGGUCAGUGGGGUUGAAAGCUACCCGUCCUACACGCCCAUUCUGCACCGGGCAAUCGAGGUGUGGUACCACGACCCGGCGGUCACCACCCCCGUACUCAAGCUGAUGGCCGAGCUCGCUCAGAGCUGCUCACAGAGACUCCUGUUUGAUGUCUCCUCCCCCAACGGCUAUCUCCUGUUCAGGGAGGUCAGCAAAGUAAUUGACAGCUACGGAAUCUCGGUGUGUUUCUCCAUAAUGAAGGCGGCCCUCUGUGGGAACUAUGUCAACUUUGGAGUGUUCCGUCUGUAUGGAGAUAACGCGCUGGACAAGGCGUUUGGAAUGUUUGUCAAGCUCCUGUUGUCUGUGUCCCAGAGAGACCUGAUGGACUACCCCAAGCUGAGCCAGAACUUCUACAGUUUGCUGGAGUGCCUGGCCAACGAUCACAUGGCUUUCAUCAGUAGCUUAGAACCCCAAGUCUUUCUCUACAUCCUGGCCACCAUAUCAGCUCUAGAUACCAUGGUUUGUACCGGAUGCUGUGCCACGCUGGAUACAGUCAUCACCUAUCUGUUCAAGAACCUUACAAUCAAAAUGAAGAAACGAAAUCACAUGCAGAAGAACGAGGCUUUUCUCCGAAUCCUAGAACUUCACCCAGAAAUCCUUCAGCAAAUGCUGUCCACAGUACUCAAUACUAUCAUGUUUGAGGACUGUCGGAACCUAUGGUCCAUGUCAAGGCCUUUACUGGGUCUUAUUCUACUUAACGAGGAGAACCUGUCGCUGUUUAGGAGAGAUGUGAACGACUCGCUGAAGGCGGCCAACGGACAGAGUCCCACCCACUGUACACAGUUCCUGGACAUGAUGAGCUAGUACACAGCAGGCUGUAUGUCAU
rnacentral:sRNA from 1 species